GGGAGUGACGGAUUACAAUUAUUACAAUCACUCGACCAUUGAGAAGCCCCUCAAUUCGAACCACGUCAGUUUGACAACAGUUGUCAUUUUCAUUUUUGUUUAUGUUUUUGUUAUGUUUUUUCUGUUUUUCCCUCGCGUGCCGCACAGCAACAACUUUUUCGGUUGUUCUUUUUUAUUUAUUUAAAGGUUAUUUAAACGAGGUCGUGAAAAGUGGCAUGUUCAUUUUUGGAUGUUUACCAAGUAUUUGCUCAACCGGUAUUUGCUGCGGGUUCAAAACGUUGAAACGUAUCCAGAGUCGUCUCCACAAAAGUGCUUUGGAAAUGAAAAUAUGUGUCCUGCUGUACGCUCCUGAUGGAGCUGGUGAAACCGACUUGGUGAAAAAUCAGGAAUCACAUCAACGACAACGGAACGAUUCACAACUAAGCGGGGACCAGAUCGCUGUCGUGAUUGAUUGCCCUCCAGGAAAGUUUGAGAAAAAAGGCGAGAAAUUUUCUCCACAUUUAACUGCUGCCGUAGCUUCAUUGCUUCACCUUUUGGAAUCUUUGGUCGCUCACAGGAACCAUCCAAGAGGAUGUAAGACUUCUGCAUCUAAUUAUCAGGACACAGCCGCUUUUUGCGUGUGUGUUAUUAUUUAAAAGAGGACGAAUCUGGACGAAUGAGGAGACAAACUAGUACCGGACGAAGAGAGGAGCACUUUAGGUGAAUGAAAAUUUGGUAACCAAACUGCAGAUUCCUCAGAAGGAUUUGACUACAAAAUGUGUGUUGCUCGCACUUGAUUGAAUCCGAAAUUAAUCCGCUCCAGCAUUAACACUGGAGUAAACCGAGAAGGAAAUCGAUGGCGGAGGUUGUUGUUGAUUAAGCCAUCGGCGAUACAGGAAUGCGUAUCAUUGACUGUCAUAUGCUGGCGCAUCGCUUGAUCGAAUAAUACGCCGCAAUGAUAACUUAUGGUAGUGGUCAUUCUGGCCAAUUAUAUCUAUACGGAAAACAAUGUGUAUCUCAACCCGUGCGGACUUUGCAGCAUAGAUGAACCAAUGGUGACACUCGGCUGACCCGUCGUAGGAUCAUCAUUGACACCUGCGGAGGCGGGGGAGUACACGACGGUGGUUCUUUUUACGGUUAUGACUUCACCAAGGUCAACCGUUCAGCUGGGUGGCCAAGUUGUUGGUGCAGACCGGAAUCUGCCGGUGCUUGUUUGCAAAUGUAUAUAUCUUCUACAGUUAAUUUGCCAUCGGCCUCGCAUAACUGCAUUCGAUUAUGGUACUUGUCGCGAAUAUUACGGGAAAUCGUAGUUGAAUGGAAGAUACGUAUACCGGCUAUCAGCUGCUUAGUCGAAAACAUUUCAAACAAGACAAUAAGGAAUAAGCAUUACACAGCGAGAUCAAGGUAGUACACGCGGUGCCGCUUUGCCUAGCGGUUUUAUGUUAUCCUGCGGUUGGCUUUUCCGGAUU